GACGAACGCUGGCGGCGUGCUUAACACAUGCAAGUCGAACGGAAAGGCCCCUUUUGGGGUACUCGAGUGGCGAACGGGUGAGUAACACGUGAGUAACCUGCCCUUGACUUCGGGAUAACUUCAGGAAACUGGGGCUAAUACCGGAUAGGAAUCCUUGCUGCAUGGUGGGGGUUGGAAAGCUUCGGCGGUUUUGGAUGGACUCGCGGCUUAUCAGCUUGUUGGUGGGGUAGUGGCUUACCAAGGCUUUGACGGGUAGCCGGCCUGAGAGGGCGACCGGCCACAUUGGGACUGAGAUACGGCCCAGACUCCUACGGGAGGCAGCAGUGGGGAAGAUUGCACAAUGGGCGGAAGCCUGAUGCAGCAACGCCGCGUGCGGGAUGACGGCCUUCGGGCUGGAAACCGCUUUCAGCAGGGGCGAAGCUUGUGGUGACGGUACCUGCAGAAGAAGCACCGGCUAACUACGUG
rnacentral:rRNA from 1 species